UGAACUAUGGUGUAAUGGUAGCACAACAGAUUUUGGUUCUGUUUGUAUAGGUUCGAAUCCUGUUAGUUCAA
rnacentral:tRNA from 1 species